rnacentral:lncRNA from 1 species
ACGGACCACUCAGUCAAGUCUUCUUCUUCUUCUUCUCCUUAUGUAGAACAGAUGGGACAAGAGGCAAGAUCUGCAGCAACGUCAAAAUAUCAUAUGGGGAAUCAUCACCGAGCUCGCUUCACCCUCAUCAUCUCCUCCUUCAUCGUCAUCAUGUUUUGGUUGGCAGCAUUACGAUCUACUGUUGCCAUCGCUACGUCAGGGUACUGAUAGAAGAUAAGAUUUUUCCAACUAUAUGAGGGAGAAAAUAUCUGGAAAAUCCUCUAUUCUGUUGAGGGAAAUCCUUUCUCCUAAUCAAUAUAUUUUUUAUUUCUUCAAUAAAAUUUUUUCACUUUUUCAAUAAAACUUUUUCAGUAAUUGUUCUUAUCUUCUAUUAUUUUCAUCAGGUACUAUUCUUACGAGGCGUUUACUAAACCGAAAUCAAACAUUUGCGGCCCUACUUGUUCGGCUCCUGUCCAUCAGCCGAAUCCUCCAUAUCCAAGCAAAAGUCCAUAUAAGCCUCCAGUGAAUCUACCUCCAUGCCGACCAUAAGCCUUCAGUGGGCUUCCCGUGCAACGUUGACGUCGAUCGAGUGUAUGCAUGUUUCUGUUUUCUCAGCUUGCUUCUGUCCGCAGCAACAAAAAUAUUCGAACAGAAUAAAAGUAUCUAUCUUGUCAAGGUUUCUUGGAGUACCAGGGUGUGUUAGAUGUGCUUGUGCCAUCUAAUUCGUUUGUUAUUCUUCUUCUUCUAUGUUGUUCGUGUGUUAGAUAUGCUUGGGCUUACAUCUUCCUUCCUCGCAAUCAACUACGAUACGAUUUCAACAAGGAAAACAAGAGAAUCCUAGAUAGC